rnacentral:rRNA from 1 species
AACGAACGCUGGCGGCAUGCCUAACACAUGCAAGUCGAACGAGACCUUCGGGUCUAGUGGCGCACGGGUGCGUAACGCGUGGGAACCUGCUCUUAGGUUCGGAAUAACUCCCCGAAAGGGGUGCUAAUACCGGAUAAUGUCUUCGGACCAAAGAUUUAUCGCCUUUGGAUGGGCCCGCGUUGGAUUAGCUAGUUGGUAGGGUAAAAGCCUACCAAGGCGACGAUCCAUAGCUGGUCUGAGAGGAUGAUCAGCCACACUGGGACUGAGACACGGCCCAGACUCCUACGGGAAGCAGCAGUGGGGAAUAUUGGACAAUGGGCGAAAGCCUGAUCCAGCAAUGCCGCGUGAGUGAUGAAGGCCUUAGGGUUGUAAAGCUCUUUUACCCGGGAUGAUAAUGACAGUACCGGGAGAAUAAGCUCCGGCUAACUCCGUG